AUACUUACCUGGCAGGGGAGAUACCAUGACAAUGAAGGUGGUUUUCCUAGGGUGAGGCUUACUAUUGUACUCUGGAUGUAUUCUUACAGUAUGCUUUUAUAGCAUGAUAUAGAAUAAAUUUGGUCUUCAAC
ensembl:snRNA U1 U1 spliceosomal RNA